rnacentral:other from 3 species
UGCUCCCUGGGAUUCGCGCUAGCUGGCAAUGUCCCUGUGCCGAUAUUUACAAAACCCAGGGUGAACGUUUUACUGACAUUGUGCAAGCUCGGCUCGUAUCGAGAAGCCUUAGGAAGUAUGCGUUUACCCGCCUUGAACUACGGUUCAAGGGCUACGUCAAGCGGUCGGUGUUCCGGGGAGCAA